AGGAUGCAUGUUGCCAGCUCCAGUCUGUGAGCUGCUGAGAUCCAGGCUGAUACCUGGCUACCUGAGGACACCUGAGAGAGAGUGGAGCCGCAGAGAGCUGCAUAGGCUGAGGGACCUGGAGACACCCAGACUGCCAUAUCAGGAGACAGGACUUGCUGAAUGGGCUGUGGGCUGAAAGAUGUUGGACCUAGAGGACACAGCUGAGGAAGACCCGAUUCAUUAAGCUCAAGAGGAUUUGAGAAAUGACAGGAAAGGAAAAUAGGAUUUCAGCUACUUUGGAGAGGAAAAAGCCAAAAGAAAACAGGAAAAAAAGGAAGAAUCAAGAAAAAGGCUGCAUGGUUUCUGAUUUGGUCCAAAAAAAUUAAAAAAAUCAAAGUUUUAUGAAAACGUAUUUGGAAGAAGGCCAUUUCUCAGUGGAAAAAAAUGUCCAUUUGAAAAAUGUCAAGCAGCUGUAACUGGAAAACUAGUCUGGUCCCACAUGGGCUGAAAUGACACUUCACUACUGUUCCAGAGUUCAUGAUUGUGGAGAUAAGUUACUACAGAAGGAGGCCUGAGCAGAGCAAGGGAACUAGAUCAAGUCUCACUCUUGUGGCUUUUUGGUUACACACAAUGCCUGUUACUCAGAUGCUCCACAUUAGCUUCUGAGCUGCGCUCACAGUAGCACCUCCUGUGCACAGCCAGCCACAGCAGAGGUACAUGCAGGUCCUCACCACACUCUGCUAAGAGAUGAGAUGUCUCCCUCCUGCCAUGGAGAGUGUGGAGGCUUCAAAGAGAAGCCCAGAGGUGUUAGGAAAUGGGGCCUGUCAGCAGGUAUUCACAGUUAGCUCCUUGUCACCCUCAGUCCCACCCACGGGUUUUUCCGAGCAAUAGAUUGCUGUUGUGUGACAGAUAGACAUGUCCUCUCUCUGACUCUGGUCCCACUCACUCUGUCUAGCUCCUGUCACAUCACUGAACUCACUCCUGCUUCACAUCAGUGUAAGUGAGAGCAGGACCAGGUCCUGAGUGUUUUGCUGCCC